rnacentral:ncRNA from 1 species
UGUCUCCUCUAUGUCUACCCAAAUUGAUAUAGAUUUUGCCCACUUUCGAGUGGGCAUUUUUUU